AUACGGAGGGUGCAAGCGUUAAUCGGAAUUACUGGGCGUAAAGCGCGCGUAGGCGGUUUAGUCAGUCAGAUGUGAAAGCCCCGGGCUCAACCUGGGAACUGCAUUUGAUACUGCUGAACUAGAGUAUGGUAGAGGGAAGUGGAAUUCCGGGUGUAGCGGUGAAAUGCGUAGAUAUCCGGAGGAACACCAGUGGCGAAGGCGACUUCCUGGACCAAUACUGACGCUGAGGUGCGAAAGCGUGGGUAGCAAACAGGAGUAGAAACCCCGGUAGUCC
rnacentral:rRNA from 1 species